GGGGAAUAUUGCACAAUGGGGGAAACCCUGAUGCAGCAACGCCGCGUGAAGGAAGAAGGUUUUCGGAUCGUAAACUUCUAUCGAUGGGGAAGAAAAAAAUGACGGUACCCAAGUAAGAAGCCCCGGCUAACUACGUGCCAGCAGCCGCGGUAAUACGUAGGGGGCAAGCGUUAUCCGGAAUCACUGGGUGUAAAGGGUGAGUAGGCGGAUUAGUAAGCCGUAUGUGAAAACUCAGGGCUUAACUUUGAGAUUGCAUAAGGAACUGUUAAUCUAGAGUACAGGAGAGGUAAGUGGAAUUCCUAGUGUAGCGGUGAAAUGCGUAGAUAUUAGGAGGAACACCAGUGGCGAAGGCGACUUACUGGACUAAAACUGACGCUGAGGCACGAAAGCGUGGGUAGCGAAC
rnacentral:rRNA from 1 species